GUAGGGGCUCAGGGGCAGAGCGCUUGCCUGGCACGUGGAGGCCCUGAGUUCAAUCCCCAGCACCACA
rnacentral:tRNA from 1 species